GGAACAUAAAAUUACUCUGUCAAAUUGCUACAAAAGGUUUUAAAUGUUAAGUCUUCAUAUCUGUACUCACAUCACAGAACUGUAAUAAAAAGUUCAUGUACUGGCAGUGUUCUGCAGAGCGCACUCAGAACUCAUCUAGGGCACUAACAGUUACGUUCCUGUCCAUGCUUCUCUUUUCAGCUCUUUUCAAGGGUAGGACCACCUGUCCCAAACUGAGCCCAUCAUGAUCUUUUGUCCAGUAAUAUAAACUAGAAUUUAUAUUUUCAGUUUAUAUAGGUUUACUCAAAAUGAGGACAGUAUGCCAGGCAGGGACAAGUGCCUGUAGCCCGAGCUACUCAGAAGGCUGAGGCAUGUGGAUCACUUGAGCCCAGGAGUUCUGGGCUGUAGUGUGCUAUGCUGAUUGGGUGUCUGCACUAAAUUCAGCAUCAAUAUAGUAACCUCCCAGGAGCUGGGGACUACCAGGUUGCCUAAAGAGGGGUGAACCAGCCCAGGUUGGAAAUGGAGCAGGUCAAACUCCUGGGCUGAUCGGUAGUGGGUUCAGGCCUGUGAAGAGCCACUGCACUCUAGCUUGGGCAACACAGUGAGACCCCCAUCUCUAAAAUAAUUUUUUUUUAUGAGGACAGAAAACUUGGAAGUUAUGGGACAACCAUUUUGGCCAUGUGCACACCAAAACAAGGAAAGCUGGUCUUCAGAGAGUCAAAAGUCAAACAAAUGCAGACAGAAGAAAGGAAUGAAAAACAUGGCUGUAAGCCCCAGCUGCACUUGAUUUCCAUCUAAGCACUCUUCCCUCAGGUUCUGUGACAACCCCACUGCAAACUUGGCCUCUGACCUGUGGCAAGAUGACUUUCUUCAGCUGCUCCUGAGUGAAGUGCUCCACGUAGGCCUCGAUGUGAGACAGCAGCACCAUCCGCACAUGCUCUUCAUGAACUUCAAACAACUGGAGAAGCACGGGGAUCACCCGUGACUGGAACAGGGCUGGUGAGAGCAAGCAAGGAGUUUCUCCCUGCGCAUGAUCUACCCGAAAAAUCAAAGGUUACAGAUGAAAAAACAAAUUUUCAUUUCAGUGAAGAGUAUUAAGCAUAAUUCAUACACUGAACCCAAAACUACACAUAUUGUGAGACGUGCCUUUUGCCUUCUGCUAUGAUUUUAAGGAACUCCC
rnacentral:lncRNA from 1 species